GGCGUGCUGCGAGCGACAGGGAAAGCCCAGCACCGAAGCCACUGCUGUCUCGGCACGUGUGCAAUGUGGUGUACGGGAAGGUUCGAUCCGGUUGAGAGCCAGGUGUCAAAGUCCCCCUGACCGGGGCCACGACCCUAGGAGGGUGCAAGGCCCGUGCGGCCCGGCGUCUUUUUCUCUCCCGGUCGAGUCCCUCUCCCAGGAGUCGGGUUGCUUGAGAGUGCAGCCCUAAGUGGGUGGUAAAUUCCAUCUAAGGCUAAAUACUUACCAUGAGACCGAUAGCAAACAAGUACCGUGAGGGAAAGUUGCAAAGAACUUUGAAGAGAGAGUUCAAGAGUGCGUGAAACCGCUUAGAGGACAAGCGGGUGGGACCUCGAAGGUCGAACGGAAGGGUAGGGAUUCAGCCUCUCUGCCGACUGCCCGCCGAUGGGACUGUGAGUCGCCUGGAAUGGUUCGUCCGUUUCAAGGAGACGCUCCCUCGGUGUGUGGCGGUCGUUGCAUGAGGGGCGCAUUUCCCUCUGACCCCUCUCCUAGUAGGACGCCGCGACCGGUUGGAAUGUUGAACGCGGGAGACCAGAUGCCCUGGCCGUUGGUAGCUGCACGGGAGUUUAGGUUGUGCCGUUGCUCUGCGAUGGCCGCCUCUCCCGCUUGUCUGGCCUGGCCUUGGGGUGGUGUCUCUCACUCCGACCGAGGUGACGAGCGUGCCGUGUGGGACCGCAAGGUUCCCGGCGCGUCCAUGCCGCACCCCGCACUGUAAUGGUGCUCGGGCUGACGGAAUCCACCGGGCAGUGCAUGCCGGGUUGGGCAUCGAGUGACCGAGCUCGUCCCCUUCGGGGUGGCAAGCCACGGAGCUCGGCCCGCCUGGAACGUUGCGCUGCCGUCUGGACGGAUGCUGGCUCCCGAUUGGGGUUGCCGUGGGUUCGGCGGCGAGUAGGUCGGUACCCCACCCGACCCGUCUUGAAACACGGACCAAGGAGUCUAACAUGCAUGCGAGUCUACGGGGAACUGCAAACCCCAAAGGCGUAAUGAAGGUGAAGCAGGCCCACCUGUCUUGGCAAGAUCCCGGCUCCCAGCGAGCCCGGGCGCACUGCCGGCCCGUCCAACGAUCGCCACGUCGAUCGGGCGAGCUAGAGCCUGC
rnacentral:rRNA from 1 species